rnacentral:rRNA from 1 species
CAGUCGCCACGGUAAUACGAAGGGUGCAAGCGUUAAUCGGAAUUACUGGGCGUAAAGCGUGCGUAGGCGGUGAGUUAAGUCUGCUGUGAAAUCCCCGGGCUCAACCUGGGAAUGGCAGUGGAUACUGGCUCGCUAGAGUGUGUCAGAGGAUGGUGGAAUUCCCGGUGUAGCGGUGAAAUGCGUAGAGAUCGUAAGGAACAUCAGUGGCGAAGGCGGCCAUCUGGGACAACACUGACGCUGAGGCACGAAAGCGUGGGGAACAAACAGGAUUAGAUACCCGCGUAGUCCCUGUCUCUUAUAA